UCUGAACACAAUCAAAACAAUACCUCAGUUUCUCUCUCUGGUUAUUGGUUUUUCCAUCUAGUUAGUUUAGGAUUUUUGAAACCUUAGUUUCUCUCUCUAGUGUUGUCGAAACCUUAGUUUCUCUCUGUAGCUAAACGUUUUUGACGGGGUUUGUUAGUUUAGGCUUUUGAAAGAUGAAAUUCUCUUUCUUGUUAGUUCAAGAUUUUUGUAACCUUAUUUAUCUCUAGCUCAGGGUUUUUAGGGUUAGUUUAGGAUUUUUGAAUGCUUAAUUUCUCUCUGUAUUUUAGUUCAUGAUUAGGGAGAGUAUAAAAUUUGGG
rnacentral:lncRNA from 1 species